GGUCUCAUAGCUCAGCGGGAGAGCGUCCGCCUCACACGCGGAAGGUCGCUGGUUCGAUCCCAGCUGGGACCA
rfam:Nocardia farcinica IFM 10152 DNA, complete genome.